rnacentral:rRNA from 1 species
ACUCCUACGGGAGGCAGCAGUAGGGAAUCUUCCACAAUGGGUGCAAACCUGAUGGAGCAAUGCCGCGUGAGUGAAGAAGGUCUUCGGAUCGUAAAGCUCUGUUGUUAGAGAAGAACACGUGCUAGGUAACUACUAGCGCCUUGACGGUAUCUAACCAGAAAGUCACGGCUAACUACGUGCCAGCAGCCGCGGUAAUACGUAGGUGACAAGCGUUGUCCGGAUUUAUUGGGCGUAAAGGGAGCGCAGGCGGUCUGUUUAGUCUAAUGUGAAAGCCCACGGCUUAACCGUGGAACGGCAUUGGAAACUGACAGACUUGAAUGUAGAAGAGGAAAAUGGAAUUCCAAGUGUAGCGGUGGAAUGCGUAGAUAUUUGGAGGAACACCAGUGGCGAAGGCGAUUUUCUGGUCUAACAUUGACGCUGAGGCUCGAAAGCGUGGGGAGCGAACAGGAUUAGAUACCCCUGUAGUCC